rnacentral:lncRNA from 1 species
UAGCUCCUCAUGUGAACAAGUAGUAACAUAAAGUAGAUGCUUUUGUUGUUCACAUGUGGUCUUUAGAAAUGAGUUUUCGUUUUUCAAUUUACUUGUUUUUGCCAUCUCAUUUCUUAAAGCUUUGGUGAGUCUACAUACAAGCUCAAAAUUUGGAUCAUCACAAUCAACAAUCACACCUCCAAUAGAUACCUUGCCGUUGCCAUGAGACAUGGAGGAAUGUGAUGAAGUGGAUGAGCUUGUAGAAGCAUCACUCUCAUAGCCAUCAUCUU